rnacentral:snoRNA from 1 species
AACCAGUGAUGAAAAUUGAUUCUGCCAAAUGAACGUCUGUGAUAUUACCCCAUUCCGUUCCAUACUCUCAGAGGUU